rnacentral:misc_RNA from 1 species
CGCACAUUGCGCCCCUUGGUAUUCCAUUGGGCAUGCCUGUUCGAGCGUCAUUAACCCCCUCAAGCUCCGCUUGGUGUUGGGCGUCUGUCCGCGCUCUCGGCGCGGACUCGCCCCAAAUCCAUUGGCGGCGGCUCCGUCGGCUUCCCGCGCAGCACUUUGCGCUCCCGGAGGCUCUCGGCGGGCCCGCGUCCAUGCAGGAAACCCCAUCGUUUGACCUCGAAUCAGGUAGGGAUACCCGCUGAACUUAA